AGAGAACUUCCCACACUGAUGCAGACAGACAAAGCAAGGCAGAGACUGACUAGAAAAGCAUAUGGGAAGGAAGGCCUUUAAAUCAAAACAAUUGUUUUCCGAGCAGAGAUGUAUGCAGAGAAGAAAUUUGGAUGGAUGGAUGUGUCAGGCUCCAGGAAAGCCUGAAGAAGACAGAACCAGUCUUCCUUGGAAGAGACAGGGAACUUGGAAAGGACCCAUGGAAAUUCAGCAAUGAGACUCUUCCCCAGGCAGGAGGAAACUUCAAUGUUUUAAAACAGACUGCAUCCAGGACUGUAUCUCCCUUUAUGAGUCUACCUGGAGAUUGAGAUAAUCAGGAGAGGCCUUUCUCUUGCUCCCACAAGCACUCUUGUUAGGGACACAGGAGAGCCCCCCACCCCCUGGCUGCUCCCAGACUCUGAAACCCCCUUCCAUGGGAGAUCAAACUGGCUCCACCUUUGUUGUCCUUCUGCAAGGAGAUAAAGACCUUCCU